rnacentral:rRNA from 1 species
ACCACAGCCAUAUCACCCUGCAGCCCAAGACUGGUUGCCCACUGAAGCUAAGCAGGGCUGAGCCUGGUCAGUACCUGGAUGGGAGACCUCUUGGGAAAACUAGGUUGCUGCUGGAA